CGCAUCUGUGCAUGCAGCAUAUCAAUAAGCGGAGGAAAAGAAACUAACAAGGAUUCCCCUAGUAACGGCGAGUGAAGCGGGAAGAGCUCAAAUUUGAAAUCUUAAAGGGUUUCCCUUUACGAAUUGUAGUUUAAAGAAGUGUUUCCUGUUGAGGUUUUGGUAAAAGUUCUUUGGAAUAGGACAUCAUAGAGGGUGAGAAUCCCGUAUUUGACCUUUACUUUCAACUUUGUGAUACACUUUCAAAGAGUCGGAUUGUUUGGGAAUGCAGUCCAAAAUGGGUGGUAAAUUUCAUCUAAAGCUAAAUAUUGGCGAGAGACCGAUAGCGAACAAGUACCGUGAGGGAAAGAUGAAAAGAACUUUGAAAAGAGAGUUAAACAGUACGUGAAAUUGUCAAAAGGGAAGCGUUUGACACCAGUGUUGUUUUUCUGAAAAUCAAUUAAAGAACUGUUUAUGCUAAGUUGUUUAGACUUUAUCAGCUAACUGUUUAGUUUUGAGCUUUUCUUUAAUGCACUUUUCAGUUAACAAGUCGACAUCAAUUUCUUUUGCUGUAAAAAAGCUUGAGGAAGGUGGCUUGAGAUUCGUCUUAAGUGUUUAUAGCCUCUUGCCUAUGCAGUCGGAGAGAUUGAGGUCUGCAGCGUAGAUCCUUCGGGGCUAAAUGCAUUUGUGCUAAGUUAUAACAUUUUAUAGACAACUUGUUGACUAUGAUUUGUCUUGUAGCUUACUCGCUUAUGUUAUUUUACCUACGCUUAGGAUGUUGAGCGCAUGUCUCUCUCU
rnacentral:rRNA from 1 species